AUCGAACGCUGGCGGCAGGCCUAAUACAUGCAAGUCGAACGAGUGGCGGACGGGUGAGCAAUGUCUGGGAAACUGUCUGACGUACGGGGAUAACUACUGGAAACGGUAGCUACUACUGCUAAACACGGGAUGGGCCCUGGUGGGAUGAGCUAGUCGGUGAGGGAACGGCUCACCUAGGCGACGAGCCCUAGCUGGUCUGAGAGGCUGACCAGCCACACGGGAACUGAGACACGGUCCAGACUCCUACGGGAGGCAGCAGUAGGGAAUCUUGCGCAAUGGGCGCAAGCCUGAUGCAGCAAUGCCGCGUGUGUGAAGAAGGCCUUCGGGUUGUAAAGUUCUUUCGGCGAGGAGGCGUUACUCGCAGAGAAAGCACCGGCUAACUCCGUGCCAGCAGCCGCGGUAAUAC
rnacentral:rRNA from 1 species